CCUACGGGUGGCAGCAGUGGGGAAUAUUGGACAAUGGGCGAAAGCCUGAUCCAGCCAUGCCGCGUGUGUGAAGAAGGCCUUCGGGUUGUAAAGCACUUUCAGUGGGGAAGAAAGCCUUGGGGCUAAUACCCUCGAGGAAGGACAUCACCCACAGAAGAAGCACCGGCUAACUCCGUGCCAGCAGCCGCGGUAAUACGGAGGGUGCGAGCGUUAAUCAGAAUUACUGGGCGUAAAGCGCGCGUAGGCGGUCUGAUAAGCCGGUUGUGAAAGCCCCGGGCUCAACCUGGGAACGGCAUCCGGAACUGUCAGGCUAGAGUGCAGGAGAGGAAGGUAGAAUUCCCGGUGUAGCGGUGAAAUGCGUAGAGAUCGGGAGGAAUACCAGUGGCGAAGGCGGCCUUCUGGACUGACACUGACGCUGAGGUGCGAAAGCGUGGGUAGCAAACAGGAUUAGAUACCCCAGUAGUC
rnacentral:rRNA from 1 species